rnacentral:rRNA from 1 species
CUAACAAGGAUUUCCCCUAGUAACGGCGAGUGAAGCGGGAAGAGCUCAAAUUUGAAAUCUGGCAGUCUUUCGAUUGUCCGAGUUGUAAAUCUAUAGAGGCGUUUUCCGUGCCGGACCGUGUCCAAGUCUCCUGGAAAGGAGUAUCAAAGAGGGUGAUAAUCCCGUACUUAACACGACCACCGGUGCUCUGUGAUACGUCUUCUACGAGUCGAGUUGUUUGGGAAUGCAGCUCAAAAUGGGUGGUGAAUUCCAUCUAAAGCUAAAUAUUGGCGAGAGACCGAUAGCGAACAAGUACCGUGAGGGAAAGAUGAAAAGCACUUUGGAAAGAGAGUUAAACAGUACGUGAAAUUGUUGAAAGGGAAACGAUUGAAGUCAGUCGUGUUCUUUGGAUUCAGCCAGUUCUGCUGGUCUACUUCCUUGGAACGGGUCAACAUCAGUUUUGUCCGGUGGAUAAAGGUAGUAGGAAUGUGACUUCUCCGGAAGUGUUAUAGCCUAUUAUCACAUACACUGGGUGAGACUGAGGACUGCAGCUCGCCUUUAUGGCCGGCCUUCGGGCACGUUCGAGCUUAGGAUGUUGACAUAAUGGCUUUA